GUGGGGAAUUUUGGACAAUGGGCGCAAGCCUGAUCCAGCCAUUCCGCGUGCAGGAUGAAGGCCUUCGGGUUGUAUACUGCUUUUGUACGGAACGAAAAGCCUCUGGUUAAUACCCGGGGGUCAUGACGGUACCGUAAGAAUAAGCACCGGCUAACUACGUGCCAGCAGCCGCGGUAAUACGUAGGGUGCGAGCGUUAAUCGGAAUUACUGGGCGUAAAGCGUGCGCAGGCGGUGAUGUAAGACAGUUGUGAAAUCCCCGGGCUCAACCUGGGAACUGCAUCUGUGACUGCAUUGCUGGAGUGCGGCAGAGGGGGAUGGAAUUCCGCGUGUAGCAGUGAAAUGCGUAGAUAUGCGGAGGAACACCGAUGGCGAAGGCAAUCCCCUGGGCCUGCACUGACGCUCAUGCACGAAAGCGUGGGGAGCAAACAGGAUUAGAAACCCCAGUAGUCC
rnacentral:rRNA from 1 species